AACGGCCAUACUAUGCUGAAUAUACCGCAUAUCUCGUUAGAUCACCGAAGCCAAGCAUCAUUGGGCGCGGUCAGUACUUGGGUGGGUGACCACUUGGGAACGCCGCGUGCCGUU
rnacentral:rRNA from 1 species